rnacentral:rRNA from 1 species
AUUGAACGCUGGCGGCAGGCCUAACACAUGCAAGUCGAACGAGUGGCGGACGGGUGAGUAAUGUCUGGGAAACUGCCCGAUGGAGGGGGAUAACUACUGGAAACGGUAGCUAAUACCGCAUACAAUCGGAUGGGCCCAGAGGGGAUUGGAUGGUGGGUGGGGUAACGGCUAACCUAGGCGACGAUCCCUAGCUGUUCUGAGAGGAUGACCAGCCGAACGGGAACUGAGACACGGUCCAGACUCCUACGGUAGGCAGCAGUGGGGAAUAUUGCACAAUGGGCGCAAGCCUGAUGCAGCCAUGCCGCGUGUAUGAAGAAGGCCUUCGGGUUGUAAAGUACUUUCAGCGAGGAGGCGUUACUCGCAGAAGAAGCACCGGCUAACUCCGUGCCAGCCGCCGCGGUAAUUC